UACAGAGGUCCCAAGCGUUGUUCGGAUUCACUGGGCGUAAGGGGUGCGUAGGCGGUCGGGUAAGUCUGAUGUGAAAUCUCACAGCUUAACUGUGAAACUGCAUUGGAUACUAUCCGGCUAGAGGAAUGGAGGGGAGACUGGAAUACUUGGUGUAGCGGUGGAAUGCGCAGAUAUCAGGAGGAACACCAAUAGCGAAGGCAGCUCGCUGGGACGUUACUGACACUGAGGCGCGAAAGCGUGGGGAGCGAACAGG
rnacentral:rRNA from 1 species